AGGGGAAGAAUUGUUGACAAUUACGAAAUUGAUGCUCACUCAGGGGCGCACGCUUCUCCUCUGCAGUGUGGGGUCUCAGCCCUCGGCUACCGCGUAGUGGGCAGUUUCCAGUCCAGCGCAGGCCACCGUGGGGGCCCAGCCCAGAGGUCAAUGUGCAGGGAAUAAUAUCUCAAGUCACGGAAGCAUGAAUUUUUUGAAGCAGGAUUUGCUGUCGGGCACGCGAGUUCCGAUUUCAAUCCUGGGCCCGCCAGGGGAUUGGGGAAAGAGGUGGGGCGGCCCUGCUAAGCUCUCAGC